rnacentral:rRNA from 1 species
ACGUGUGGCAAUAACACGUUGACUGCAUCAGGUCCCAGUGGAUCACUGAAGCUAAGAACGUUCAGCGUGGUUGCAAUCCGGAUGGGUGACCUUCUGGGCAGUCGUGUGCUGCUGGCU